UACGUAGGGGGCAAGCGUUGUCCGGAAUUAUUGGGCGUAAAGCGCGCGCAGGCGGCCUCCUAAGUCCGAUGUGAAAGCCCACGGCUCAACCGUGGAGGGUCAUUGGAAACUGGGGGACUUGAGUGCAGGAGAGAAGAGUGGAAUUCCACGUGUAGCGGUGAAAUGCGUAGAGAUGUGGAGGAACACCAGUGGCGAAGGCGGCGCUCUGGGCUGGAACUGACGCUGAGGAGCGAAAGCGUGGGUAGCAAACAGG
rnacentral:rRNA from 1 species